rnacentral:tRNA from 1 species
GGAGUAGCUCAGUUGGUAGAGCGCAACCUUGCCAAGGUUGAGGUCGCGAGUUCGAGCCU